CCCCUUUAGAUAGAGCAUCCCCUUUAGAUAGAGCAUCCCCUUUAGAUAGAGCAUCCCCUUUAGAUAGAGCAUCCCCUUUAGAUAGAGCAUCCCCUUUAUCUUCCACCGUAUGAUUCUUUUGGUGGCCCAUAACUCUACUCCACUGUUUGUUUUGCAUUUUCAGAGGCAGCUUUACAAAUGUUGUUGAGGUUGUUGUCGACAUUGAUAAAAUGUUACAGUAUAUUGAAGCUGAUAGGAAAUGAUGGAUUUUGCCUUUUGAGGAUAUUUGAUCUAUUUCAGCUGUAUUUGUGGGGAAUUGACAGAGUAUGGGCGCUGCUCUUAGUAUGAGCCUUGAGUUAGAAAAGGUUUUCUGGUAGAAUGCCCCUAUUCAGCUAUUUAUGCACUUAAAUUACUCAUUUACUUGUUUCCAUUUUGUAUAGCAUAUUAUUGCAACCAGGGUGUGAUUCUGUGAUCUUACAUUGAUUGAUAUGCAGUAUAUCUCAUAUCCUAUAACAGGAUUCCCCACCUGUUGGCCAAAUUCAGCCCGUGGGUGAUUUUAUUUGCCCCCCAUGUUUUUUGAUCAAAAAAUAAUAAUAUAUUUUUAUUUUUGGACAUAAAAAUGUAAAAACACCAGAAAAGCAGCCCCAAAUUAUUUUAAUUUUGGAAAUAUGUUCCAAAGUAUUACCACGCAUAAUAGAGAUACAGUUGAUGUCGGAGGUUUACAUACACCUUAGCCAAAUACAUUUAAACUCAGUUUUUCACAAUUCCUGACAUUUAAUCCUCGUAAAAAUUCCCUGCCUUAGGUUAGUUAGUAUCACCACUUUAUUUUAAGAAUGUGAAAUGUCAGAAUAAUAGUAGAGAGAAUAAUUUAUUUCAACUUUGAUUUCUUUCAUCACAUUCCCAGUGGGUCAGAAGUUUACAUACACUCAAUUGGUAUUUAGUAGCAUUGCCUUUAAAUUGUUUAACUUGGGUCAAACAUCUCAGGUAGCCUUCCACAAGCUUCCCACAAUAUGUUGGGUGAAUUUUGGCCAAUUCCUCCUGACAGAGCUGGUGUAACUGAGUCAGGUUUCUAGGCCUCCUUGCUCGCACACGCCUUUUCAGUUCUGCCCACAAUUUUCUAUUGGAUUGAGGUCAGGGAUUUGUGAUGGCCACUCCAAUACCUUGACUUUGUUGUCCUUAAGCCAUUUUGCCACAAUUUUGGAAAUAUGCUUGGGGUCAUUGUCCAUUUGGAAGACCCAUUUGUGACCAAGCUUUAACUUCAUGACUGAUGUUGCCUCAAUGUAUCCACAUAAUUUUCCUGUCUCAUGAUGCCAUCUAUUUUGUGAAGUGCACCAGUCCCUCCUUGUCAUGCCCUGACCUUAGAGAUCCCUGUUUAUUCUCUAUAUUUUGGUUAGGUGUGACUAGGGUGGGUACUCUAGUUUUUGUAUAUCUAUGUUUUUUUUUCUUUGUUGGCCGGGUAUGGUUCCCAAUCAGAGGCAGCUGUCUAUCGUUGUCUCUGAUUGGGGAUCAUACUUAGGCAGCCCUUUUUCCCACCUUCAGUUGUGGGAUCUUUGUUUGGUUGCAUGUAUUUUUGCACGACAAAGCUUUUCGUUCGGUGUAUUGUUUUUUUUUUGCUGGUUCACAUUUUAAUAAAAUAUGAUGAACUCAAAUCACGCUGCGCCUUGGUCUACCCUUAACGACGAACGUUACAAUCCUGCAGCAAAGCACCCCCACAACAUGAUGAUGCCACCCCCGUGGGUGGGAUGGUGUUCUUCGGCUUGCUAGCCUCCCCCUUUUCCCUCCAAACAUAACGAUGGUCAUUUUGGCCAUACAGUUAUAUUUUUGUUUCAUCGGACCCAAGGACAUUUCUCCAAAAAGUACGAUCUUUGUCCCCAUGUGCAGUUGCCAACCGUAGUCUGGCUUUUUUAUGGCGGUUUUGGAGCAGUGGCUCCUUCUUUUCUGAGUGGCCUUUCAGGUUUUGUCGAUAUAGGACUUGUUUUGCUGUGGAAAUAGAUACUUUUGUACCUGUUUCCUCCAGCAUCUUCACAAGGUCCUUUGCUGUUGUUCUGGGAUUGAUUUGCACUUUUCGCACCAAAGUAAGUUCAUCUCUAGGAGACAGAACGCGUCUCCUUCCUGAGUGGUAUGACGGCUGCGUGGUCCCAUGGUGUUUAUACUUGCGUACUAUUGUUUGGACAGAUGAACGUGGUACCUUCAGGCAUUUGGAAAUUGCUCCCAAGGAUGAACCAGACUUGUGGAGGUCUACAAUUUUUUUCUUAGGUCUAGGCUGAUUUCUUUUGAUUUUCCCAUGAUGUCAAGCAAAGAGGGACUGAGUUUGAAGGUUGGCCUUGAAAUACAUCCACAGGUACACCUGCAAUUGACUCAAAUGAUGUCAAUUAGCCUAUAGGUAGCGUCUAAAGCCAUGACAUCAUUUUCUGGAAUUUUCCAAGCUGUUUAAAGGCACAGUCAACUUAGUGGACAGUAUGUAAACUUCUGACCCACUGGAAUUGUGAUACAGUGACUUAUACGUGAAAUAAUCUGUUUGUAAACAAUUGUUGGAAAAAUUAUUAUUAAAAUCAUGCACAAAGUAGAUGUUCUAACUAACUUGCCAAAACUAUAGUUUGUUAACAAGAAAUCUGUAGAAUGGAUGAAAACUAUUUUUAAUGACUCCAACCUAAGUCAAAUCAAAUCUAAGUUUAUUUGUCACGUGCGCUGAAUACAACAGGUGUAGUAGACCUUACAGUGAAAUGCUUACUUACAGGCUCUUACCAAUAGUGCAAAAAAGGUAUUAGGUGAACAAUAGGUAGGUAAAGAAAUAAAACAACAGUAAAAAGACAGGCUAUAUACAGUAGCCAGGCUAUAAAAGUAGCGAGGCUACAUACAGACACCGGUUAGUCAGGCUGAUUGAGGUAGUAUGUACAUGUAGAUAUGGUUAAAGUGACUAUGCAUAUAUGAUGAACAGAGAGUUGCAGUAGCGUAAAAGAGGGGGUGGUGGGUGGGACACAAUGCAGAUAGCCCUGUUAGCCAAUGUGCGGGAGCACUGGUUAGUCGCCCCAAUUGAGACCGUAUACAAAUGUAAGCAAGGUCUGGAGUUCAUGCGGUCUAUUUGUAGUCUACAAAUUACUUAUAACUAUGUUCCGGCCCCCUGAGCAUCCGCUCAAUGAAGACAUCGGCCACAGCUGAAUCUAUACUGAACAAAAAUAUAAACGCAACAUGCAACAAUUUCAAUGAUUUUAUUGAGUUACAGUUUAUAUAAGGAAAUCAGUCAAUUGAAAUAAAUAAAUUAGGACCUAAUCUAUGAAUUUCACAUGACUGGGCAGGGGCACAGCCAUGGAUGGGCCCACCAAUUUGGGAGCCAGGCCCAGCCAACAAAAAUAUCAAAAAUAAAUCUUAAAUUCAUAAUUCCAAACAGUCGAUUUCUGAGUGGAUAGACUAUUGUAAGUAUCUAAAGCCAGCUAUAUCUGAAUCAGCUGUCUGAGUUCUCCAGAAAAGGGCUUUAUUACCAAUAGAAAUACUCCUCAGUUUCAUCAACUGUCUGGGUGGCUGGUCUCAGACGAUCCCACAGAUGAAGAAGCCGGAAGUGGAGGUUCUGGGCUGGCGUGGUUACACGUGGUGUGCGGUUGUGAGGCCGGUUGGAUGUACUGCCAAAUUCUCUAAAAUGAUGUUGGAGGUGGCUACAGUAGAAAUUAACAUUAAAUUAUCUGGCAACAACUCUGGUGGACAUUCCUGCAGUCAGCAUACCAAUUGCACACUCCCUCAAAACUUGAGACAUCUGUGACAUUGUGUUUUGACAAAACUGCACAUUUUAGAGUGGCCUUUUGUUGUCCUCAGCACAAGGUUCACCUGUGUAAUGAUCAUGUCACACCUGCCAGGUGGAUGGAUUAUCUUGACAAAGGAUAAAUGCUCACUAACAGGUAUGUAAACAAAUUUAUGCACAAAAUUUGAGCAAAAUAAGCUUUUUGUGUGUAUGGACAAUUUCUGGGAUCUUUUAUUUCAGCUCAUGAAACAUGGGACCAACACUUUACAUGUUGCGUUUAUAUUUUUGUUCAGUGUAGUUGAUGAUCUUUGUCCUAUAAGCUAUUGCAGUGGUUAGGAUCAGUUGUGAGAGUAGCUUAAGUCUGAUCCCCCAUGUUGUACAGUAGAGCUGUGAGGCCUCCUGAACAGGUCCUAUCAAGGAUGUGAUGACUUGGUAACUCUGUUGAGGCAGUAUCUACCAAUAUAUGAUUACCAAAACAACUUCCUAUUAACCACCAUCUCCCCUGCUUUUGACUGAAUCUUCAUGGUGAUCAUGCAUUCCAUUAUGACUGGUCAAUAUGGAAAAGGACCAUUAAUGUCACAGGGAUCUGUGGUGUUUCAGAUCAGAUUUUUUCUGCAGUGAUAUCAAUGUAAAAUCUUUCCACUUUCUCUAUCUCUAUGCUGUCUUUACUGGAGUAGGCUAAGGCCAGGAUUCAAUCCGGACUGCAGAAGAUCCACGUUGUAGCGCAGUUUGCAUUUAACAGUAAUUUCCAAUUGAGCCAACAUCUGCAGUGUUUACUUUGAACGCGAUCUCCAUGGCGACACUAACAUGUAUAGCCGAAAAGGGACUAUCUGAUAGAAUCUCAGGCCGAACUCUUACUCAUAAACGUGAUCUCUACACUACUGUUUUAUCAGUGAUACUACAUAAGAUCCCAGUUCCCAUAACCUUUGGCUUUUGAUAUGGAGAUUAUCCAGUGCAUUAAUGUUUGCUGUGGCAAUAAUGCUCUUUAGUGAGUCAGAAGUGCACACGCAAAUUCCUGUGCUUUGAGUCACUGUCUUUUCAAUUGCUGUAUUAUCACCAUCAUCCCUGUUGCAUUCUUUGCUAAACACCACAAAAACCUGCCUUCAGCUAUGUUGGACUGUCUGCAACAUAACACUGAAAAAGCGUACAUAUUUGUUUGGCGACCAUCUGUCAAUGGUCGGUUCUUUCUUGACCAGUUCCAGCUUUUUAGGCCAUUCUCUAUUAUAGUCAUGUGUGUCUGCUCUGAAUAUUCUGAAUCGCUUGUAAUCUGCAUUCCAUUUUGUACAGUUCGUAUAUUUGUCUAAAUUAAUAGUAUGUUCUAUAGUAUAUUCUGUUUCAAACAGGUACUUUAUCAAAAAAUGUGUGACAAAAAUGUGUUAUGGGCCACUGGCAAUAUGUAAAUACAAAUGUAUUAGUGCUAAAAAAACAAAUAUAAUUUAUUUGUGCUUGUUCAUAUCAGUGAGAAUACUAUCACAUUUUUUGGUGGAACUUUCGAACUCGAGAAGAGAUUCCUUUAAAAUGGUAUUUUCUCUAUGAAGAAGGAACUGAUUCAGUCCUAUAUCCCAGCUCACCCUUCUUUCCUAUCUGGUGGAAGGACCAUAGAGGUUAUGACUGACUGAGCGCCGUUUGUCUGUGAGAAGGCCAUAACUUCUUGGUCACCUGGAACAUCGAAGGACCAAAUCCAGCGACCAGGUGAACCAAUGGGGACCAUCAUCAUUUCACCACCCAACCACUCGUCUAUUUCUGGCCUAUUGGUCUUCUUUCAGAUGAAUAACUGUGACUGCAUCAUGAAUAAUAGUAUGUUAUUUUGAAUGUAAGCUCUCGGGAUGGGGGGGAUUGCCACUGGUUAUUUUGUAAAUAUGAAAAAGCAUUUUUUUUUUAUCCCUGUGCAGAUAUGUUUUACUUGCUGGCUGAAUGAUUUUGAGUGAGAGUCAGAGUGUACACGUUCAUACGUUUGUGAGUAUGAUGCCCCUGAGCUGCGGUGUGUGUGUGUGUGUGUUUUUUUUCUCCCAGCAGAUUGUGUCACUGCUUACGUAACAUUCAAUUCUAUCAAUCAAAUCUUUGUGCAUCAUGCGAGUAACUUCUCUGCAGUUAAUGGAAUUGUUCCUUGUAACACUGUGCAUUUAAUAAAGGUGGUAUGUCUUACAAUAAGUUGUCUCCUUUCAGAAUGUCAGUUAUAAUUUACAAUACCAAUCUCAUGCGUUAUGUUCCGUGAAGUUGUGUACAUCUAAAUAAUUUAUAGAACACCAAGCUGAUUGAAUUAUCUGAGAUAUGGGUGUCUUUGUGCAGCUGUUCAAUUGUUAGCAGGUUAUGUGAAAUUGUAAACCGGAUAUGCCAAUAAUAUCUCAUCAAAUCAAUUCACAUUAUAUAUUGCAAGUAGGCUACCGACCUGCAGCAGAAUUCCAUAGCACGCUCCCAAUCUUGUACCCCAGUAGCCUCACCAGAUCCAUGCAUCUCAUAAAUCACAUUGAUUUACUGCUCCUGCUCCACCAUCAGGGCACACCAUAGCAAAAUGUUUUUGCAACAGAAAAGGAGUUACUUGUUCAUAUAGCUGUUCUUUCCAGGGAGGUACUUUCUUACAUUUUGUGCCUACUGAAUAUGACCCAACUCUCUAGUCUAUCUGAUAGACAGGCAGAGUAUCUAAGCCUUGUUGAUUGAUACUUGAUAUGUGCACCCACCAUUGCGUCUGGUGGCUAUUUUAAAAGAGCCAGCCCUCGCAGUUUUAUGAAAGGAUUUCCAAGGUCAAAGUUGGGAUCUAACAAACACAGUUAAGUGACAACGGCAGCUGGCCCGUAGCAAAGGUCCUGAUACACAGUCAAAUCAAAACUAGCAGUGUUCGCUGCACAGGAUGAUGUGGUCCCAGGACAGUUCUUACAUUUCCUCCCCAACUGGUUAUUUGGUAUUUUAUUAGGAUUCCUGGAGUUCACACAAAACAUGAAACAUAAUACAGAAUGACAUAAUACAGAACAUCAUUAGACAAGAAUAGAACUACAUACAUUUUUAAAAGGCACAUGUAGCCUACAUAUACGCACAAACUAUCUAGGUCAAAUAGAGGAGCAUCGCGUUGUGCUGGUUUGCUUUAUCUGGUUUUGAAAUCAGGUUUGCUGUUUAUUUGAGCAAUAUGAGAUGGAAGGAAGCUCCAUGCAAUAAGGGCUCUAUAUAAUACUGUACGCUUUCUUGAAUUUGUUCUGGAUUUGGGGACUAUGAAAAUAGCCCUGGUGGCAUAAGUGUGUGUCAGAGCUGUGUGUAAAUUGACUAUGUAAACAAUUUGGGAUUUUCAACACGUUUCUUAUAAAAAUAAGUGAUGCAGUCAGUCUCUCCUCAAUUCUUAGCCAAGAGAGACUGCCAUGCAUAGUAUUUAUAUCAGCCCUCUGAUUACAAUUAAGAGCAAAACACGCCGCUUUGUUCUAGGUUAAGAUUUGGGGGCCGCAAAUUCUUCUCUUAGUGCUUGGUCAAUUUCAUUAGGCACAAAAUGGAGUGGUUCUAUAUCUGAACUUACCCAAUAUAAAAAAUUAAAAAUUUUCACGUCGCAAAACAUUUUGCUACAGUGUGCCCUAAUGAGCAUAACCUUUGUUGCAGUCAUUUAGGCCAGGAUUCGAUCAGCGGUAACCUGUGUAAACUGACAAAUGUAAAAAAUGUUUAAAGCGUGUAGGAGGGUGAACUGUGAUAGAGCUGUCAAAUCAACAAGCGGCUCCUGCAUUGGAUGCACGAGUAAAAAUCCCAUGCAGCUGUGUUACAAGUUUGUACACUGAUUUUAACCUAUUACUUCUUUAAAAUGAAUUACAAGGUGUCAUUUCCAUAUAGCUUACAAUUUCUUGUUCUGAACUUCUGUGGUUUGUGACAAUGACCACCAGAGCUCACAGAUUUGACAGCUCUAACACAGUUACACCACCAACACAGUUACACCACAGAAAAAGCUUAUUGGUGGUUCCACACUUCUUCCAUUUAAGGAUGGAGACCACUGUGUUCUUGGGGACCUUCAAUGCUGCAGACAUGUUUUUGUACCCUUCCCCAGAACUGUGCACAAUCCUGCCUUGGCAUUCUAGUCAAUUCCUUCAACCUCCUGGCUUGGUUAUUACUCUGAUAUGCACUGUCAACUGUGACACCUUUAUAUAGACAGGUGUGUGCCUUUCUAAAUCAUGUCCAAUCAAUUGAAUUUACAACAGGUGGACUCCGAUCAAGUUGUAGAAACAUCUCAAGGAUGAUCAAUGGAAACAGGAUGCACCUGAGCUCAAUUUCAAUUCUCAUAGCAAAGGGUCUGAAUACUUAUGUAAAUCAGGUAUUUCUGUAAUAAAUUUGCACGAAAAAAAAAAGAAAACAUUUUUGCUUUGUCAUUAUGGGGAAUUUUGUGUAGAUUGAUGACAGUUUUUAUUUAAU
ensembl:lncRNA